rnacentral:rRNA from 1 species
CGGUAAACGGCGGCCGUAACUAUAACGGUCCUAAGGUAGCGAAAUUCCUUGUCGGGUAAGUUCCGACCUGCACGAAUGGCGUAACGAUGGCGGCGCUGUCUCCACCCGAGACUCAGUGAAAUUGAAAUCGCUGUGAAGAUGCAGUGUACCCGCGGCAAGACGGAAAGACCCCGUGAACCUUUACUAUAGCUUGGCACUGGACUCUGACACUAUCUGUGUAGGAUAGGUGGGAGACUUUGAAGCGUGGUCGCCAGACUGCGUGGAGUCAUCCUUGAAAUACCACCCUGGUAUUGUCGGGGUUCUAACGCUGACCCGUUAUCCGGGUUGCGGACAGUGUCUGGUGGGUAGUUUGACUGGGGCGGUCUCCUCCCAAAGAGUAACGGAGGAGCACGAAGGUACCCUCAGCAUGGUCGGAAAUCAUGCAAUGAGCGC